CACUACAUCAAACUGACUUUCUUAUCUUCUAAUCUACUUUUAGAUUAGUCUAACAAAAAUAUAUUAUAUGGGAGCAGGAUAAAAGUUUGUGCUUAAAAGUAGGACUUGGGGACAUUGUCCUUUACUAAAGAGAGAGAAGGUCUUUCAGGCUCAGGCAGAAAAUGCAAAAAUAUUGAUUAGAACUGUAGAGAAGUCUUUUUUCAACUGGACCCAUUGACUGGGGGGACUCCAAGACCAACUUGUGGAGACGGUGCUCUUCUAGAGGAAAAAUGAACACGUAACACUUCAAGGUCCACCUUGUAUGUAUUAUCUUGAUAUAAUCUGGAAUCUGUAUGGAGGAUACACCCAAGGGAGCAAAUGAACUAAAACUAAAAGAAACAGGCUUGCUUAAGGUGA